rfam:Aedes aegypti strain Liverpool supercont1.81 genomic scaffold, whole genome shotgun sequence.
UGCCCAACAACUCCUAUCCCUACCUCCUCGUGGUACUGGCCGGGGUACGAGUAACCUUGGGGAAGAUCGGGUAACCAACCCCCGGUGGGAACUUUGGUCGUAUGCUGACAGGGAAGG